rnacentral:lncRNA from 1 species
AAUGACGUUAUUAACAAUAAGAGGAGACCACCCACCACCACUACCACCACUACCACCAGUUGUAGGUUACGGCACUGCCAAUCUCAUCUGUGGCUAACGAGCUCGAUAUCAAACGGUCGUGGUGUAUCCAGAGAUAAUGGUUAGGGGGUGACUGAGAAAAAGAGAGAUAGAAAGAGACUGUGUGUGUGAGAGAGUGAGAGAGUGAGAGAGAGAGAGACAUAUAUACCAUAAAAGAUAUAUGAGACUAGUUACGAACUUAGUUCGCGAUGACGAGGAGGAGGGCCUCAGUCUGUAAUGCGGGGUCCGAGAGUAUCGUCUCACGAGCCGGAGGGCCGUGAUUGUGUCAUCCGCUGGUGAGGGACUCUAAUACAUUUUUACCAAUCUUUUUCAACGAGGUGACUGAGAAAGAAAAAAAAACGCGACUCAAGGUCACGGAUAAUGCUCAUCAAGGAGACUUCCCUCAGCGGACUGCUGUUAACGUACGAGAAGAAAAAGAAUAAAGGAACGAGAAGAAGGAUUCCUGAGGGAUAGCCUGAAGGGUUUUUGCGAAGGACAGGAGAUUCCCUGAGAGGAGAAUGAGAACGAAUAGUGGGAGAAGGAAAGGAAGAACAAGAAAAA